GUCGAGAAUUUUGGGCAAUGGACGAAAGUCUGACCCAGCAAUGCCGCGUGCGGGAUGAAGGUCUUCGGAUUGUAAACCGCUGUCGAGGGGGACGAAAUAUGACGGUACCCCUGGAGGAAGCCACGGCUAACUACGUGCCAGCAGCCGCGGUAAUACGUAGGUGGCGAGCGUUGUUCGGAUUUAUUGGGCGUAAAGGGUCCGCAGGGGGUUGAUUAAGUCUGACGUGAAAUCUCUGAGCUCAACUCAGAAAUUGCGUUGGAGACUGGUUGACUAGAGUGUUGGAGAGGUAAUUGGAAUUCCAGGUGUAGCGGUGGAAUGCGUAGAUAUCUGGAAGAACAUCGAAAGCGAAGGCAGAUUACUGGACAACAACUGACCCUCAGGGACGAAAGCAUGGGGAGCAAACAGGAUUAGAAACCCCGGGUAGUCC
rnacentral:rRNA from 1 species